rnacentral:rRNA from 1 species
UACAGAGGGGGCAAGCGUUAUUCGGAAUUAUUGGGCGUAAAGGGCGCGUAGGCGGCUUGGCAAGUGAUGGUGAAAUCCCUCGGCUUACCGAGGAACUGCCGUCCAAACUGCUUCGCUGAGACCGGGAGAGGUGAGUGGAAUUCCCAGUGUAGCGGUGAAAAUGCGUAGAUAUUGGGAGGAACACCCAGUGGCGAAAGGCGGGCCAUC